rnacentral:rRNA from 1 species
AAUCCCUUAUCGAGGAUCUAUUGGAGGGCAAGUCUGGUGCCAGCAGCCGCGGUAAUUCCAGCUCCAAUAGCGUAUAUUAAUGUUGUUGCGGUUUAAAAGCUCGUAGUUGGAUCUCGGUUUCGGGCGAGCGGUGCGCCUUGCGGCGUCUACUGUUUGCCCGGACGAUUUUGCUGGUUCGUUCCUGGUUCUCUUAACCGAGUGCCAGGAGUGGCCAGCACGUUUACUUUGAAAAAAAUUGGAGUGCUCAAAGCAGGCGCUACAGCCUGAACAUUAGUGCAUGGAAUAAUGGAAUAGGACCUCGGUUCUAUUUCGUUGGCUUUCGGAGUCGAGGUAAUGAUUAAUAGGGACAGACGGGGGCAUUCGUACUGCGACGUUAGAGGUGAAAUUCUUGGAUCGUCGCAAGACGAACUACUGCGAAAGCAUUUGCCAAGAAUGUUUUCAUUAAUCAAGAACGAAAGUUAGAGGUUCGAAGGCGAUCAGAUACCGCCCUAGUUCUAACCAUAAACGAUGUCGACUGGCGAUCCGCUAUCGUUAACUGAAAGACUUAGCGGGCAGCCUCCGGGAAACCAAAGUGUUUGGAUUCUGGGGGGAGUAUGACUGCAGAAUUGAAACUUAAAAGAAUUGACGGAAGGGCACCACCAGGAGUGGAGCCUGCGGCUUAAUUUGACCCAACACGGGAAAUCUCACCAGGCCCGGACACCGGUAGGAUUGACAGAUUGAGAGCUCUUUCUUGAUUCGGUGGGUGGUGGUGCAUGGCCGUUCUUAGUUGGUGGAGCGAUUUGUCUGGUUAAUUCCGAUAACGAACGAGACUCUGGCCUACUAACUAGACGUUAGAUCCCUUCGUGGGUCUAUCGCAGCUUCUUAGAGGGACGGGCGGCGUUUAGCCGCACGAGAUUGAGCAAUAACAGGUCUGUGAUGCCCUUAGAUGUUCUGGGCUGCACGCGCGCUACACUGAAGGGAUCAGCGUGUGUUCCCUGCCCGAAAGGGUUGGGAAACCCGUUGAACCUCCUUCGUGAUGGGGAUUGGGGAUUGCAAUUAUUCCCCAUGAACGAGGAAUUCCCAGUAGGCGCGAGUCAUAAGCUCGCGUCGAUUACGUCCCUGCCCUUUGUACACACCGCCCGUCGCUACUACCGAUCGAGUGAUUUAGUGAGGCCUUCGGACUGGUCUUCAGUAUGGCUUUCGGGUCGUGUUGGAGUUUCGGAAAGAUGACCAAACUUGAUUACUUAGAGGAAGUAAAAGUC